AGAGUUUGAUCAUGGCUCAGGAUGAACGCUAGCGGCAGGCCUAAUACAUGCAAGUCGAACGCUCAGUAGCAAUACUGGGAGUGGCGCACGGGUGCGUAACGCGUACACAAUCUACCUCUAAGCGGGGGACACCUCCUGGAAACGGGGAUUAAUACCGCAUAAUAUGCCGAGGUCGCAUGACUUUGGUAUUAAAGCAGCAAUGCACUUAGAGAUGAGUGUGCGUCCCAUUAGGGUAGUUGGUGAGGUAACGGCUCACCAAGCCUAUGAUGGGUAGCCGGUCUGAGAGGAUGGUCGGCCACACGGGCACUGAGACACGGGCCCGACUCCUACGGGAGGCAGCAGUAAGGAAUAUUGGUCAAUGGUGGAAACACUGAACCAGCCAUGCCGCGUGGAGGAAUAAGGUCCUACGGAUUGUAAACUCCUUUUGACGAGGAAGAAAGUGUUAGAUUUAUCUAAUUUUGACGGUACUCGUAGAAUAAGCACCGGCUAACUCCGUG
rnacentral:rRNA from 1 species